GUUAAGAGUAGGGACAUCCUUUGAAAUAUUACUUAACUCUUUACAGUGUAUUGGCAUGUUUGUAACAUUAUAUAGACUUAAUUCUUCAUAAUUUAUUUUAAAUAUAGUUUAAUUUACAAUGUAACAAUUUAAAAUGCAACUGAAAGUAAUUCAAAAUGUAUCUGAAAUCAAUUCAAUAUGUAACCCAAUGCAAUUAUCUUCACAGAUUGUUUUAAAGGACUCCCAUCCAUACUGUUGCAGCACUGUACCAGACAGCACACUAUUCAGAACUGAGAAUCAGUGCAGUUCCUCCUGUACAGAGCUGCACUGAAUGGAGCAGAACUGGCACAAACCUAGAACAAUGAGAGUUAAGCCAGGUCCUGUCAGUGGGAUGGUGGUCCUGUUUGCAAGAGAGGAAACUCGCUGAGUGGUUAAGGAGAAUGUUUACAGUGGCGUCACAGUGAUCUGCUUGGCCUAUCAGUCCUCCAAGUGGCAGAAGUGUUAAAAAACCAUAGCA